rnacentral:rRNA from 1 species
UACGUAGGGUGCGAGCGUUGUCCGGAAUUAUUGGGCGUAAAGAGCUCGUAGGCGGCUUGUCACGUCGGGUGUGAAAGACCGGGGCUUAACUCCGGUUCUGCAUUCGAUACGGGCUAGCUAGAGUGUGGUAGGGGAGAUCGGAAUUCCUGGUGUAGCGGUGAAAUGCGCAGAUAUCGGGAGGAACACCGGUGGCGAAGGCGGUUCUCUGGGCCUUACCUGACGCUGAGGAGCGAAAGCGUGGGGAGCGAACAGG